GCCUUCUUGGCUCAGUUGGUUAGAGCGCCAGUCUCAUACAGCUGUAUGCGGAACAUCCUGUUCUUCAAUCUGGAGGUCGAGAGUUCGACCCUCUCAGAGGGCA